GACGAACGCUGGCGGCGUGCCUAACACACGCAAGUCGAACGGAACUGUUUUGAAAGAUUUCUUCGGAAUGAAUUUGAUUUAGUUUAGUGGCGGACGGGUGAGUAACGCGUGAGUAACCUGCCUUCAAGAGGGGGAUAACAUCCUGAAAAGAAUGCUAAUACCGCAUGACAUAUCGGAAUCACAUGAUUUUGAUAUCAAAGAUUUUAUCGCUUGAAGAUGGACUCGCGUCCGAUUAGUUAGUUGGUGAGGUAACGGCUCACCAAGACCGCGAUCGGUAGCCGGACUGAGAGGUUGAACGGCCACAUUGGGACUGAGACACGGCCCAGACUCCUACGGGAGGCAGCAGUGGGGGAUAUUGCGCAAUGGGGGCAACCCUGACGCAGCAACGCCGCGUGAAGGAUGAAGGUUUUCGGAUUGUAAACUUCUUUUAUUAAGGACGAAAAAUGACGGUACUUAAUGAAUAAGCU
rnacentral:rRNA from 1 species